GAUGAAGAACGUAGUGAAAUGCGAUAAGUAGUGUGAAUUGCAGAAUUCAGUGAAUCAUCGAAUCUUUGAACGCACAUUGCGCCCCCUGGUAUUCCGGGGGGCAUGCCUGUUCGAGCGUCAUUUCACCACUCAAGCCUCGCUUGGUAUUGGGCAUCGCGGUCCGCCGCGCGCCUCAAAUCGACCGGCUGGGUCUUCUGUCCCCUAAGCGUUGUGGAAACUAUUCGCUAAAGGGUGUUCGGGAGGCUACGCCGUAAAACAACCCCAUUUCUAAGGUUGACCUCGGAUCAGGUAGGGAUACCCGCUGAACUUAAGCAUAUCAAUAAGCGGAGGA
rnacentral:misc_RNA from 1 species